UCCAUGCCGUAAACGAUGAUUACUAGGUGUGGGGGGGCUGAACCCUUUCCGUGCCGGAGUUUACACAAUAAGUAAUCCACCUGGGGAGUACGACCGCAAGGUUGAAACUCAAAGGAAUUGACGGGGGCCCGCACAAGCAGUGGAGUAUGUGGUUUAAUUCGAAGCAACGCGAAGAACCUUACCGGGUCUUGACAUCCUGGGAAUCCUUAAGAGAUUAGGGAGUGCCCUUCGGGGAACCCAGAGACAGGUGGUGCAUGGUUGUCGUCAGCUCGUGUCGUGAGAUGUUGGGUUAAGUCCCGCAACGAGCGCAACCCUUAUCAUUAGUUGCUACGCAAGAGCACUCUAGUGAGACUGCCGUUGACAAAACGGAGGAAGGUGGGGAUGACGUCAAAUCAUCAUGCCCCUUAUGACCCGGGCUACACACGUACUACAAUGGCGAUCAACUGAGGGAAGCAAAGCCGCGAGGCAGAGCAAAACCCUAAAAAUCGUCUCAGUUCAGAUUGCAGGCUGCAACUCGCCUGCAUGAAGUCGGAAUUGCUAGUAAUCGCAGAUCAGCAUGCUGCGGUGAAUACGUUCCCGGGCCUUGUACACACCGCCCGUCACACCAUGGGAGUCGGUAACACUCGAAGUCGGUAGCCUAACCGUAAGGAGGGCGCCGCCGAAGGUGGGAUUGAUGACUGGGUGAAGUCGUAA
rnacentral:rRNA from 1 species